rnacentral:rRNA from 1 species
UACGUAGGGACCGAGCGUUGUCCGGAUUCAUUGGGCGUAAAGAGCUCGUAGGCGGCUGUUCAAGUCGAACGUGAAAACUCGGAGCUCAACUCCGAGCCUGCGUUCGAUACUAGACGGCUAGAGUCUGGUAGGGGGAUCUGGAAUUCCUGGUGUAGCGGUGGAAUGCGCAGAUAUCAGGAGGAACACCGAUGGCGAAAGCGCCACUCUGAGCCGGUACUGACGCUGAGGAGCGAAAGCGUGGGGAGCGAACAGG